GCACUACCAUCACCUCAAAACCCACCAUGAACCCACCUCCAAAACCACCAUAAAAUAACCACAAAAAUCACAACCUCCAUCUCCACCACAACUAUCCCCAACAAAAAAAUUAAAAUAAAAAAUCCUAAACUUGCCACUUCCACCACCUCAUAUCCGUAGAGGACAGAAAUGAACACCUUACCAUAACCACCAACAAUUAUGACCUCCAUCUCCACACACUACAACCACAAUCACCACCACCACCCAACAAAAAAUCCUAAGCCCGAUGUCAUCACCACCUCAAAUUCACAGAGCACGGAUUGUGUCGAUCAUGUAACCCAAAAAUACAAUUACUAGAACUAUCACUACCAUUUUUAGCCAUCAAUUGCAAUUGACGAAAUCAGCCGAGUCACCAUUUUGAGGAUCAAAUUUUGAGGUAAUUGAAUAGCAAUUGGAUCGAUUAAAUGUGUAUCCACUAUUGUCUGAGUGCAAAUUUGAUUGUCCCAUGUAAAUUUUAGAUUGAAUGAUGCAGGAAUCGUCAUUUGAAUGGGAUAUGAUUACCUCUAUUCACGUAAAAUAUAGGUACGAAUUCCAGAACUUGUAUUGAUAUCGGCAUGCCUUCAAUUGUUGCCGACGUGCCUUUUCUUCUAUUUGAUGUCGAAAAGGUCCAAUUAUUCUGCACAGUCUGCAAGCUCUGAAACCUGCACGGCUUCUCAAUUCAUUGAAUCUUUGUCUUUCCCUUCCACCGUUGCCUAGAAACUACCUCCGAAGUGGUGUCUACCUUGUUUAUUCCACCACAUCUUCAUCGUCAUUGGAGAAAUUGGAGAGUGGAAACCUGGAUGUAUAGAUUCACAGGAUUAUUGGAGAUAGGGAGAGAUUAGAGUGAGAGUAGAGAAAGAUAUAGUUGAGAGAUAAUUAAUUUUAUUAUUGAUUGAUUAUCACCUGAUUUAUGUUCAAGUAAACUUUAU
rnacentral:lncRNA from 1 species